UAAUAAAUUGAAUCUGGUAUCACACCCGUUCUCUUGGAGAACCGAGGUAGUUAGAGGACCAAAAAAAAAAAGAUAUAAAAAAAUGUUCAUAUGGGUGGGGAUAGAUUUGGGCCCAAGAAGAAUAUAUAAAUCGUGGAACAAGAUUAAAUUCUGGUUAGUCAGGAUAGGAGAUCCAAUUGUAGCAGGAAAUUGGUGUUUUCAUUAUCCAUUCAAGUUGUUUUGAAUAUAAGAUAAAAGAUAACAAUAGGUUGUUGUUAUUGUUGGUGCUAUCAUUGCUAUCAAUUUUUCAAUUUAUAAUUUGAGACAUGCUUAUUCUGUUAUUUUUGUUGGGGGUCGGUGAAGCUGCAAGUAUUCCAGCUGAAUCAUCACAUAGAGAAAUACAAUCAAAAAAAUUCAAAGAUUUGCAAGUUGAAUCUUCUAACUAUGUUCAGACAAUAGUUCCACAUUCCAAGUAUCUUGUUUAUAAUCUUUUACAGGUGGACUCUGAUAAACAAUUACCAGUACUAACUUUUCCUUAUGGAAGUCCAGGUAGCUCAUAUGUUACGUCUUCAUUCAAUUAUUAUGGUGCUCCACUUUUCGAUUACGAGAUUCAAUUAAGACCGGUCUAUCCAAGCGUGAAUGUGCAACCAUUUAUUCCAAAUUAUAUUCCACAACAGCCAGCCUCGACAACUACUCAAAAACCAUUGCCAUUCGAUGAGGAUAAAAUCGAAAAACUAGAUGAAAAACUUGAUCCUAGUUUGGAGAUGAAUUUAAAACACGAUGAACCAUUGCAGGAAGAUGAUACUGUUGUGGUAGAAUCUAUUUAAAGCCAUCCAUAAGAAAAUUGAUGUUUUUUUUUCAAAUAUCAAAUUUAUAAUACUUCUACGCAAACUAAAUUAUUAUAGACACCACCAGGAUAUCGAAAUUUGGGCAAUUGUUCACAUUCACAAAAAACCAGGCUAUUGUAUCAACACAAUUUGGGAAUAGGAUUAAAAGGAU
rnacentral:misc_RNA from 1 species